AAUAGAUACCCUGGUAGUCCACGCCGUAAACGAUGAGUGCUAGGUGUUAGGGGUUUCGAUACCCUUAGUGCCGACGUUAACACAAUAAGCACUCCGCCUGGGGAGUACGGCCGCAAGGCUGAAACUCAAAGGAAUUGACGGGGACCCGCACAAGCAGUGGAGCAUGUGGUUUAAUUCGAAGCAACGCGAAGAACCUUACCAGGACUUGACAUCCUUUGACACCCCUAGAGAUAGGGAUUCCCCUUCGGGGGCAAAGUGACAGGUGGUGCAUGGUUGUCGUCAGCUCGUGUCGUGAGAUGUUGGGUUAAGUCCCGCAACGAGCGCAACCCUUAAUCUUAGUUGCCAGCAUUCAGUUGGGCACUCUAAGGUGACUGCCGGUGACAAACCGGAGGAAGGUGGGGAUGACGUCAAAUCAUCAUGCCCCUUAUGUCCUGGGCUACACACGUGCUACAAUGGGCAGUACAAAGGGUAGCGAAGCCGCGAGGUGGAGCCAAUCCCAUAAAGCUGCUCUCAGUUCGGAUUGCAGG
rnacentral:rRNA from 1 species